ACGGAAGGCAGCAGUGGGGGAUAUUGCACAAUGGGGGAAACCCUGAUGCAGCGACGCCGCGUGAGUGAAGAAGUAUUUCGGUAUGUAAAGCUCUUUAAGUUGGGAAGAUAAUGACGGUACCAACAAAAUAAGCCCCGGCUAACUACGUGCCAGCAGCCGCGGUAAUACGUAGGGGGCAAGCGUUAUCCGGAUUUACUGGGUGUAAAGGGAGCGUAGACGGCAUAGCAAGUCUGAAGUGAAAUCAUAGGGCUCAACCCUGUAAUUGCUUUGGAAACUGUUAAGCUCGAGUACCGGAGGGGCAGGCGGAAUUCCUGGUGUAGCGGUGAAAUGCGUAGAUAUCAGGAAGAACACCGGUGGCGAAGGCGGCCUGCUGGACGGUAACUGACGUUGAGGCUCGAAAGCGUGGGGAGCAAACAGGAUUAGAUACCCUGGUA
rnacentral:rRNA from 1 species